ACUUGGUGUUACUGCGAAGGGGGGACGGAGAAGGCUAUGUUGGCCGGGCGACGGUUGUCCCGGUUUAAGCGUGUAGGCUGGUUUUCCAGGCAAAUCCGGAAAAUCAAGGCUGAGGCGUGAUGACGAGGCACUACGGUGCUGAAGCAACAAAUGCCCUGCUUCCAGGAAAAGCCUCUAAGCAUCAGGUAACAUCAAAUCGUACCCCAAACCGACACAGGUGGUCAGGUAGAGAAUACCAAGGCGCUUGAGAGAACUCGGGUGAAGGAACUAGGCAAAAUGGUGCCGUAACUUCGGGAGAAGGCACGCUGAUAUGUAGGUGAAGUCCCUCGCGGAUGGAGCUGAAAUCAGUCGAAGAUACCAGCUGGCUGCAACUGUUUAUUAAAAACACAGCACUGUGCAAACACGAAAGUGGACGUAUACGGUGUGACGCCUGCCCGGUGCCGGAAGGUUAAUUGAUGGGGUUAGCCGCAAGGCGAAGCUCUUGAUCGAAGCCCCGGUAAACGGCGGCCGUAACUAUAACGGUCCUAAGGUAGCGAAAUUCCUUGUCGGGUAAGUUCCGACCUGCACGAAUGGCGUAAUGAUGGCCAGGCUGUCUCCACCCGAGACUCAGUGAAAUUGAACUCGCUGUGAAGAUGCAGUGUACCCGCGGCAAGACGGAAAGACCCCGUGAACCUUUACUAUAGCUUGACACUGAACAUUGAGCCUUGAUGUGUAGGAUAGGUGGGAGGCUUUGAAGUGUGGACGCCAGUCUGCAUGGAGCCGACCUUGAAAUACCACCCUUUAAUGUUUGAUGUUCUAACGUUGACCCGUAAUCCGGGUUGCGGACAGUGUCUGGUGGGUAGUUUGACUGGGGCGGUCUCCUCCUAAAGAGUAACGGAGGAGCACGAAGGUUGGCUAAUCCUGGUCGGACAUCAGGAGGUUAGUGCAAUGGCAUAAGCCAGCUUGACUGCGAGCGUGACGGCGCGAGCAGGUGCGAAAGCAGGUCAUAGUGAUCCGGUGGUUCUGAAUGGAAGGGCCAUCGCUCAACGGAUAAAAGGUACUCCGGGGAUAACAGGCUGAUACCGCCCAAGAGUUCAUAUCGACGGCGGUGUUUGGCACCUCGAUGUCGGCUCAUCACAUCCUGGGGCUGAAGUAGGUCCCAAGGGUAUGGCUGUUCGCCAUUUAAAGUGGUACGCGAGCUGGGUUUAGAACGUCGUGAGACAGUUCGGUCCCUAUCUGCCGUGGGCGCUGGAGAACUGAGGGGGGCUGCUCCUAGUACGAGAGGACCGGAGUGGACGCAUCACUGGUGUUCGGGUUGUCAUGCCAAUGGCACUGCCCGGUAGCUAAAUGCGGAAGAGAUAAGUGCUGAAAGCAUCUAAGCACGAAACUUGCC
rnacentral:rRNA from 1 species